UUACAUCUCUUCGGUAGCAUUUUACGUAGGUGCUGCAUGGUUGUCGUCAGCUCGUGCCGUGAGGUGUCGGGUUAAGGUCCCAUAACGAGCGCAACCCUACCUUUAGUUGCCAUCAGGUAAUGCUGGGGACUCUAAAGGAACUGCCUACGCAAGUAGUGAGGAAGGCGGGGAUGACGUCAAAUCAGCACGGCCCUUACGUCCAGGGCUACACACGUGCUACAAUGGCCGAUACAGAGGGCAGCUACCUGGUGACAGGAUGCAAAUCUCCAAAGUCGGUCUCAGUUCGGAUCGGAGUCUGCAACCCGACUCCGUGAAGUUGGAUUCGCUAGUAAUCGCGCAUCAGCCAUGGCGCGGUGAAUACGUUCCCGGGCCUU
rnacentral:rRNA from 1 species